GGCAUGGUGGCUCAGUGGUUAGAGCGCCCGCCUCAUGAACGGGAGGGAGGUCGUGGGUUUGAACCCUGGCCGAGUCA
rnacentral:tRNA from 1 species